rnacentral:rRNA from 1 species
AGUGGCGGGGUGCUAUACAUGCAAGUCGAGCGGACAGAUGGGAGCUUGCUCCCUGAUGUUAGCGGCGGACGGGUGAGUAACACGUGGGUAACCUGCCUGUAAGACUGGGAUAACUCCGGGAAACCGGGGCUAAUACCGGAUGGUUGUUUGAACCGCAUGGUUCAGACAUAAAAGGUGGCUUCGGCUACCACUUACAGAUGGACCCGCGGCGCAUUAGCUAGUUGGUGAGGUAACGGCUCACCAAGGCGACGAUGCGUAGCCGACCUGAGAGGGUGAUCGGCCACACUGGGACUGAGACACGGCCCAGACUCCUACGGGAGGCAGCAGUAGGGAAUCUUCCGCAAUGGACGAAAGUCUGACGGAGCAACGCCGCGUGAGUGAUGAAGGUUUUCGGAUCGUAAAGCUCUGUUGUUAGGGAAGAACAAGUGCCGUUCAAAUAGGGCGGCACCUUGACGGUACCUAACCAGAAAGCCACGGCUAACUACGUGCCAGCAGCCGCGGUAAUACGUAGGUGGCAAGCGUUGUCCGGAAUUAUUGGGCGUAAAGGGCUCGCAGGCGGUUUCUUAAGUCUGAUGUGAAAGCCCCCGGCUCAACCGGGGAGGGUCAUUGGAAACUGGGGAACUUGAGUGCAGAAGAGGAGAGUGGAAUUCCACGUGUAGCGGUGAAAUGCGUAGAGAUGUGGAGGAACACCAGUGGCGAAGGCGACUCUCUGGUCUGUAACUGACGCUGAGGAGCGAAAGCGUGGGGAGCGAACAGGAUUAGAUACCCUGGUAGUCCACGCCGUAAACGAUGAGUGCUAAGUGUUAGGGGGUUUCCGCCCCUUAGUGCUGCAGCUAACGCAUUAAGCACUCCGCCUGGGGAGUACGGUCGCAAGACUGAAACUCAAAGGAAUUGACGGGGGCCCGCACAAGCGGUGGAGCAUGUGGUUUAAUUCGAAGCAACGCGAAGAACCUUACCAGGUCUUGACAUCCUCUGACAAUCCUAGAGAUAGGACGUCCCCUUCGGGGGCAGAGUGACAGGUGGUGCAUGGUUGUCGUCAGCUCGUGUCGUGAGAUGUUGGGUUAAGUCCCGCAACGAGCGCAACCCUUGAUCUUAGUUGCCAGCAUUCAGUUGGGCACUCUAAGGUGACUGCCGGUGACAAACCGGAGGAAGGUGGGGAUGACGUCAAAUCAUCAUGCCCCUUAUGACCUGGGCUACACACGUGCUACAAUGGACAGAACAAAGGGCAGCGAAACCGCGAGGUUAAGCCAAUCCCACAAAUCUGUUCUCAGUUCGGAUCGCAGUCUGCAACUCGACUGCGUGAAGCUGGAAUCGCUAGUAAUCGCGGUUCAGCAUGCCGCGGUGAAUACGUUCCCGGGCCUUGUACACUCCUCCCGUCACACCACGAGAGUUUGUAACACCCGAAGUCGGUGAGGUAACCUUUAUGGAGCCAGCCGCCGAAAGUAACUGGAUA